rnacentral:rRNA from 1 species
UGGGGAAUAUUGCACAAUGGGGGAAACCCUGAUGCAGCGACGCCGCGUGAGCGAUGAAUGCUUUCGAGACGUAAAGCUCUGUCCUAUGGGUAGAUAAUGACGGUACCAUAGAAGAAAGCCCCGGCUAAUUACGUGCCAGCAGCCGCGGUAAUACGUAAGGGGCGAGCGUUGUCCGGAAUUAUUGGGCGUAAAGAGUGCGUAGGCGGCCAAUUAAGUCAGAUGUGAAAACUAAGGGCUCAACCCAUAGAUUGCAUCUGAAACUGAUAUGCUUGAGUCAAGGGGAGGAAAGUGGAAUUCCUACUGUAGCGGUGGAAUGCGUAGAUAUUAGGAGGAAUGCCGGUGGCAAGGGCGACUUUCUGGACUUGAACUAACGCUGGGUCACGAGAGCGUGGGGAGCAAACAGG